UACGUAGGGUGCGAGCGUUGUCCGGAUUUAUUGGGCGUAAAGGGCUCGUAGGCGGCCUGUCGCGUCGGGAGUGAAAGCCCACUGCUUAACGGUGGGUCUGCUUCCGGUACGGGCGGGCUGGAGUAUGGCAGGGGAGACUGGAAUUCCUGGUGUAGCGGUGGAAUGCGCAGAUAUCGGGAGGAACACCAGUGGCGAAGGCGAUCACCUGGGGUUGUUCUGACGCUGAGGAGCGAAAGCUAGGGGAGCAAACGGG
rnacentral:rRNA from 1 species